AUUGAACGCUGGCGGUAUGCUUAAGACAUGCAAGUCGAACGGUAACAGACCUUCGGGUGCUGACGAGUGGCGGACGGGUGAGUAACACGUGGGAAUCUACCUUGUAGUGGGGGAUAAGCCAGGGAAACUUGGACUAAUACCGCAUACGCCCUAAGGGGGAAAGGAGCAAUUCGCUAUAAGAUGAGCCCGCGUCUGAUUAGCUAGUUGGUGAGGUAAAGGCUCACCAAGGCGACGAUCAGUAGCUGGUCUGAGAGGAUGACCAGCCACAUUGGGACUGAGACACGGCCCAGACUCCUACGGGAGGCAGCAGUCGGGAAUAUUGGACAAUGGGGGCAACCCUGAUCCAGCAAUACCGCGUGUGUGAAGAAGGCCUGCGGGUUGUAAAGCACUUUUAGUAGGGAAGAUAAUGACGUUACCUACAGAAAAAGCACCGGCUAACUCCGUGCCAGAGCCGCGGUAAAGUAGAUGAGU
rnacentral:rRNA from 1 species